rnacentral:tRNA from 1 species
GCUGCAUUUGACAAGUGGUUAAGUCACCAGACCCUCAAUCUGGCCAUCGGAGGUUCGAAUCCUCCAUGCAGUA